AUUGAACGCUGGCGGCAGGCCUAACACAUGCAAGUCGAACGAGUGGCGGACGGGUGAGUAAUGUGUGGGAAACUGCCCGAUGGAGGGGGAUAACUACUGGAAACGGUGGCUAAUACCGCAUACCAUCAGAUGUGCCCAGACGGGAUUAGCUGGUUGGUGAGGUAACGGCUCACCAAGGCGACGAUCCCUAGCUGGCCUGAGAGGAUGAUCAGCCACACUGGAACUGAGACACGGUCCAGACUCCUACGGGAGGCAGCAGUGGGGAAUAUUGCACAAUGGGCGCAAGCCUGACGCAGCCACGCCGCGUGUAUGAAGAAGGCCUUCGGGUUGUAAAGCACUUUUAGCGGGGAGGCGUUACCCGAAGAAGAAGCACCGGCUAACUCCGUGCCAGCCGCCGCGGUAAUAC
rnacentral:rRNA from 1 species